rnacentral:rRNA from 1 species
CCUACGGGAGGCUGCAGUGGGGAAUAUUGGACAAUGGGCGAAAGCCUGAUCCAGCCAUGCCGCGUGUGUGAAGAAGGCCUUCGGGUUGUAAAGCACUUUCAGUGGGGAAGAAAGCCUUGGGGCUAAUACCCUCGAGGAAGGACAUCACCCACAGAAGAAGCACCGGCUAACUCCGUGCCAGCAGCCGCGGUAAUACGGAGGGUGCGAGCGUUAAUCGGAAUUACUUGGCGUAAAGCGCGCGUAGGCGGUCUGAUAAGCCGGUUGUGAAAGCCCCGGGCUCAACCUGGGAACGGCAUCCGGAACUGUCAGGCUAGAGUGCAGGAGAGGAAGGUAGAAUUCCCGGUGUAGCGGUGAAAUGCGUAGAGAUCGGGAGGAAUACCAGUGGCGAAGGCGGCCUUCUGGACUGACACUGACGCUGAGGUGCGAAAGCGUGGGUAGCAAACAGGAUUAGAUACCCGUGUAGUC